rnacentral:rRNA from 1 species
AUGCCGCGUGAGUGAUGAAUGGCCUUAUGGUUGUAAAGCUCUUUUACCCGGGAUGAUAAUGACUGUACCGGGAGAAUAAGCUCCGGCUAACUCCAUGCCAGCAGCCGCGGUAAUACGGAGGGAGCUAGCGUUGUUCGGAAUUACUGGGCGUAAAGCGCGCGUAGGCGGUUUUUUAAGUCAGAGGUGAAAGCCCAGUGCUCAGCACUGGAACUGCCUUUGAAACUGGAAAACUUGAAUCUAGGAGAGGUCAGUGGAAUUCCCAGUGUAGAGGUGAAAUUCGAAGAUUUUCGGAAAAACACCAAUGGCGAACGCAAAUGACUGGACGAGUAUUGACGCUAAGGUGCGAAAGCGUGGGCUGCAAACAGGAUUAGAUACCCUGGUAGUCCACGCCAUACACGAUGAUUACUAUCUCUUCGGGCUCAUAAAGCUUGAGUGGAGAAGCUAACGCAUUAAGUUAUCCGCCUGGGGAGUACGGUCGCAAGAUUAAAACUCCCAGGAAUUGACGGGGGCCUGCACAAGCGGUGGAGCAUGUGGUUUAAUUCAAAAUGACGCGCAGAACCUUACCAGCGUUUGACAUCCUAAUCGCGGAUCGUAGAGAUACUUUCCUUCAGUUCGGCUGGAU